rnacentral:rRNA from 1 species
AUUGAACGCUGGCGGCAUGCUUUACACAUGCAAGUCGAACGGUAACAGGUUAAGCUGACGAGUGGCGAAUGGGUGAGUAAUGCAUCGGAACGUGCCCGAUCGUGGGGGAUAACGCAGCGAAAGCUGCGCUAAUACCGCAUACGAUCUGAGGAUGAAAGCGGGGGACCGUAAGGCCUCGCGCGAUCGGAGCGGCCGAUGUCAGAUUAGGUAGUUGGUGGGGUAAAGGCUCACCAAGCCAACGAUCUGUAGCUGGUCUGAGAAGACGACCAGCCACACUGGGACUGAGACACGGCCCAGACUCCUACGGGAGGCAGCAGUGGGGAAUUUUGGACAAUGGGCGAAAGCCUGAUCCAGCAAUGCCGCGUGCAGGAAGAAGGCCUUCGGGUUGUAAACUGCUUUUGUACGGAGCGAAAAGGUUCUCUCUAAUACAGAGGGCUCAUGACGGUACCGUAAGAAUAAGCACCGGCUAACUACGUGCCAGCAGCCGCGGUAAAAC